AUAAUUUAUUACUUUAUAAUUUCGUCGAACUCAAAAAAAAAUCUAUUUUUAACUGUGUCAUGUUUAUACAUUCUUUCUAUUCUUGGAACGAAAUAGAUAUAAUUCAGAAGUUCUCAGUAUAUUUUCAAGAAAAGUAUAAAUUUUGCAAUAAGAAUAUGUGUAGGAAAUUGACUUUUAUCAACGAACGACAUUUUAAUAUAAUUACAAACGAAGUACUUCUGAAAUAAUUCAUCUCUUCUCCGUAUUUUCUACAUUUGCGCCGAAUAAUGAUAAAAGAAUAAAGAUAAAGAUAUUUCAUGAGGUUAUCCUGCCGCAUUGUGUGAUGACAGUAUACAACAGACUAUUGAUUUUCCCGCCAAUUUCAAAUCUUGCUUCACAUUACCAUCCUGAGAUUUAAAAGACCAAUUCGUCUUACAACGAAAAUAAUUGUAUUUAAGAAACUAGAAACUAGUCGCUUUCAUAUUAUAAAUCUUACUGAGUGUUUCCUACGUAAAUAAGAUUGCAACAAUUUUUGCAAUCUUUGUAAACUUGUGGGCUUUUAAAUGGAAUAAUUUACAAAAUAAAUAUCAUGGGAUGAUAAUAAUAUUGUGAUGUAAUUUUGAUAUAAUUGCGGCACUUAGCAGUACAUUUAAACUUCAAUAUUUUUUAACGAUUUAUAUUUCUUAUUAAUUGGUAAAGAUGAUCGUCAAGAAUAAAUCCUGUCGAAUGAACAUUGUGCUUAACUUAAAGUAAAUGCACAUUUUAUCUCAUAUCAAGAUGACAAUAGAAAGUAUUAUUUGUGGUACAAAUGCCCCAAAAGUGAAGAAAAAAAAA